rnacentral:rRNA from 1 species
UUAAAUAGCCGCAGUAUUUUGACUGUGCAAAGGUAGCAUAAUAAUUAGUUUUUUAAUUAAAAGCUGGAAUGAAGGGUUAUACGAAAAAAUUUCUGUCUCUAUUUAAAUUUUUUAGAAUUUUAUAUUUAAGUUAAAAAGCUUAAAUAUUUUUUAAAGACGAGAAGACCCUAUAGAGUUUUAUAUUAAUUUUUUAUAAAAAAUUUUUUAUAGAAUGCUAAUAUUUUAUUGGGGUGAUAGAAAAAUUUAAUAAACUUUUUAAAUUAAAAACAUUAAUUUAUGAUUUAAUGAUCCAAUUUUAUUGAUUAUAAGAUUAAAUUACCUUAGGGAUAACAGCGUAAUUUUUUUUGAGAGUUCUAAUCGAAAAAAAAGUUUGCGACCUCGAUGUUGGAUUAAAAUUAAAUUUUGGUGUAGAAGCUAAAAGUUUUAGGUCUGUUCGACCUUUAAAAUUUUACAUGAUCUGAGUUUAGACCGGUGUGAGCCAGGUUGGUUUCUAUCUUAAAAAUAUUGAAGUAGCUUAGUACGAAAGGACCAGCUACCUAUAAAAUUUAUUUUUGUAGAAUAAAAAUAA